rnacentral:rRNA from 1 species
ACUGCCUGAUGGAGGGGGAUAACUACUGGAAACGGUGGCUAAUACCGCAUAACGUCGCAAGACCAAAGAGGGGGACCUUCGGGCCUCUUGCCAUCAGAUGUGCCCAGAUGGGAUUAGCUUGUUGGUGAGGUAACGGCUCACCAAGGCGACGAUCCCUAGCUGGUCUGAGAGGAUGACCAGCCACACUGGAACUGAGACACGGUCCAGACUCCUACGGGAGGCAGCAGUGGGGAAUAUUGCACAAUGGGCGCAAGCCUGAUGCAGCCAUGCCGCGUGUAUGAAGAAGGCCUUCGGGUUGUAAAGUACUUUCAGCGGGGAGGAAGGUGUUGUGGUUAAUAACCGCAGCAAUUGACGUUACCCGCAGAAGAAGCACCGGCUAACUCCGUGCCAGCAGCCGCGGUAAUACGGAGGGUGCAAGCGUUAAUCGGAAUUACUGGGCGUAAAGCGCACGCAGGCGGUCUGUCAAGUCGGAUGUGAAAUCCCCGGGCUCAACCUGGGAACUGCAUUCGAAACUGGCAGGCUUGAGUCUUGUAGAGGGGGGUAGAAUUCCAGGUGUAGCGGUGAAAUGCGUAGAGAUCUGGAGGAAUACCGGUGGCGAAGGCGGCCCCCUGGACAAAGACUGACGCUCAGGUGCGAAAGCGUGGGGAGCAAACAGGAUUAGAUACCCUGGUAGUCCACGCCGUAAACGAUGUCUACUUGGAGGUUGUGCCCUUGAGGCGUGGCUUCCGGAGCUAACGCGUUAAGUAGACCGCCUGGGGAGUACGGCCGCAAGGUUAAAACUCAAAUGAAUUGACGGGGGCCCGCACAAGCGGUGGAGCAUGUGGUUUAAUUCGAUGCAACGCGAAGAACCUUACCUGGUCUUGACAUCCACGGAAGUUUUCAGAGAUGAGAAUGUGCCUUCGGGAACCGUGAGACAGGUGCUGCAUGGCUGUCGUCAGCUCGUGUUGUGAAAUGUUGGGUUAAGUCCCGCAACGAGCGCAACCCUUAUCCUUUGUUGCCAGCGGUCCGG